GACGAACGCUGGCGGCGUGCUUAACACAUGCAAGUCGAACGAAGUGGCGCACGGGUGAGUAACUCGUAUUCAACCUGCCCUUCAGAGGGGUACAACAGUUGGAAACGACUUCUAAUACCUCAUACUGCAGUAGUUGAUUUCGUCUGAUUAGCUAGUUAGAGGGGUAACGGCCCACCAAGGCGAUGAUCAGUAGCCGGGCUGAGAGGAUGAACGGUCAAAGUGGGACUGGGACACGGCCCAGACUCCUACGGGAGGCAGCAGUGGGGAAUCGUCCGCAAUGGACGAAAGUCUGAAGGAGCAACGACGCGUGAGUGAGGACGGCCUUCGGGUUGGAAAGCUCUGUUAAUCGGGACGCGGUACCGAAAUAGAAAGCCACGGCUAACUACGUGCCAGCAGCCGCGGUAAUUC
rnacentral:rRNA from 1 species